CAGUAACAAGUAGGAGACAAUGGCCCACUUUCACUUUAUUCCUGCUUGAGAGCUCCGGCUCGAGAGUCUGGCUAAGAUUCAAGGACAAAAUAGGGAGUCUGGCUUACAGAAAACAGAGAGAGAAGAUUCCUGCUUGUUUCCUCCCCUCACCGCGUCCUCCAGCACGUUGUUGUUCCGCCCCUGUGCCAACGAAGUUCGGGGCUUCAGAGGUUCUUCUGAGUGCGGUACACGGCCGUUCAUUCUGAUGAGCAGGAAAGGACAAAGCAUAAAAAUUGCUGUUAUUCAUCAUCUGGGAGAGAAGUCCAUAUUUUCAAUUUGUUCAUUUCUCGAUGGACCAUUCUGUAUCUGAUUUAAUAUAACAGCUUGAGAAUGUUAGUUAUUGAUAUCCUCUUCCUCUUUUGGCACCCAACAUUCUCUCCUCAUAACUUCCUUGCUUUAAUUCUUUUUAAACUUCUCGCCUUCCCUUAUUUAUGUGAUCACUUCAUUUUUGGAAUAAAAUAAGGUUUAUCUGAAGCAGCAUAACUUGGUGUUUAACUUCCGUGGGAGUCGGGCACUGAGUUUAACCUCUAGAUACAUUUGGAAGAAGCUUCUGGACAUCAUUAUAGAAGUGUCGGGAAGCCCUCAUUGUUCCUAUACCCCUUCCCACCCCAACUCAUCUGAUUCGAUUGCUAAUGUCUGAAAUUUUAUCCUCUGAAUUUGAUUCCUUUGAUAUUGAAGUGCAGACACUCCUGGGAAGAAUGAGUCACUCACACUUUAUUGUGAAUGAGGCUCAGGGGCUGGGUUAUGAAAAGGGAGAUGGAAUUAAAACCAAGAGAGCUCCGGCGACUGGUGCAGCUGUUCUUGCCACAGAAAGACUGCCAAGUGCGUAGGCGGCUUUGCUCCUCGCUAGCUCUGCAAACUGGAGUCACUUGAUCUCCUUAACCUCGGUGAUCACAGAUGAGAUAUGGAGUAAUAAUGCUUCCUGCUUUACCUGAUAGCAUUAUGUGGAGGCUCAAAUGAGAGUAAAUGGGUCACAAAAAAUUUGCAAACUGUGAAGUGCCAUGCAAAGUAAAGACAUUAAAGGGCAGGACCCAAGGGGAAAAGAAAUGUGGCCAAGGCAUCAUCUACCCACGUCACAACUCAGGUGGAUCCUGGUGCUACUUCAUAAUCACACUCAGAAUUCUGACGAUUAAGAUGACCAGGAUUCAUGUGUUGCCUUCUGGAUAUCAUCGUGCUAAAGACCUCGUGCUCAGGGUGAGGAAGUGCGGCGUGAGCAUUCCUGAUUUCACCACUGCAGUGACUUUCCCUUCCUCAUAUCUGAGGGCUGAGGAACCCAACCUGCUGUUUUGGAAAGAGGCUGGGCAGUUGAAAAAGAAAGAUUGCUUUUACAUCGGGCAGUGUGAAUGGGCUUCUGAAAAGUCUCAGGGCACAAUUCAUGGGCAACCUGUAGGCAGCUGCUAAUGAACACAUUUUAGUCACAAGAUU
rnacentral:lncRNA from 1 species